ACGGCUACCUUGUUACGACUUAGCCCCAGUCAUCGGUUUUGCCCUAGGGCGCUGCUCGCGCUCACGCACUUCAGGCACUCCCGACUCCCAUGGCUUGACGGGCGGUGUGUACAAGGCCCGGGAACGUAUUCACCGCGCCGUGGCUGAUGCGCGAUUACUAGCGAAUCCAGCUUCAUGGAGUCGGGUUGCAGACUCCAAUCCGAACUGAGACAGGCUUUCGGGUUCCGCUCCCUGUCGCCAGGUGGCUUCCCGCUGUACCUGCCAUUGUAACACGUGUGUCGCCCCGGACGUAAGGGCCGUGCUGAUUUGACGUCAUCCCCGCCUUCCUCGCAGCUUGCGCCGGCAGUCCCGCCAGAGUCCCCAGCUUUGCCUGUUGGCAACUGGCGGUAGGGGUUGCGCUCGUUAUGGCACUUAAGCCGACACCUCACGGCACGAGCUGACGACAACCAUGCAGCACCUCGUCGCAGGUCCGUAGACGGGCAUCCUU
rnacentral:rRNA from 1 species